UACGUAGGGUGCAAACGUUGCUCGGAAUUAUUGGGCGUAAAGAGCUCGUAGGCGGCUUGUCGCGUCGUCCGUGAAAACCUGCGGCUCAACUGCAGGCUGGCGGUCGAUACGGGCAGGCUGGAGUUCGGUAGGGGAGACUGGAAUUCCUGGUGUAGCGGUGAAAUGCGCAGAUAUCAGGAAGAACACCUAUGGCGAAGGCAGCUCUCUGGGACGGUACUGACGCUGAGACGCGAAAGCGUGGGGAGCGAACAGG
rnacentral:rRNA from 1 species